rnacentral:rRNA from 1 species
GAUGAACGCUGGCGGCGUGCUUAACACAUGCAAGUCGAACGGAAAGGCCCAAGCUUUCUUGGGUACUCGAUUGGCGAACGGGUGAGUAACACGUGUGUGAUCUGCCCUGCACUUCGGGAUAAGCCUGGGAAACUGGGUCUAAUACCGGAUAGGACGAUGUUUUGGAUGCCAUUCUGGAAAGUUUUUUCGUUGUGGGAUGAGCUCGGGGCGUAUCAGCUUGUUGUUGGGGUAGUGGCGUACCAAGGCGUCGACGGGGAGCCGGCGUGUGAGAGUGUAGGGACACACUAGACUUGUGAGGGAGGCAGCAGUCGUGCAGGUGGCAGAAGUGGGGAAUGUUGGACAAUGCGAGCACGCGUGAGGGAGCAAGGCCGCCUGGGGGUUGAAGGCUUUUGUGUUGUAAGAACAGUUGGCUAGGGACGAAGCGUUGUUGUGACGGUACCUGGAGAAGAAGCACCGGCUAACUACGUG